UUUGUACUGAACCAAUUUUGAUUUCUCACCAUCUUCUUCUUUUCGUUAUGCAAAGAUUCAAAUACUACGUAAGCGUAACUUCUUCGAAGUUUACGUCUAUGAUGGUUUAUAUAAGAACUUCCAGCUUUGGUGGACGAGUAACUGCUAGGGAAAGCAGAACUCAGGACAAAUAAAGUGGGCAUCGUCUCCACCAGUACUGAUUACAAGUGCAUAGGAAUGGAUGAUACCCACGAAGGGCUGGAUGGCAGACAAAGGAUGAGAAGUGGAUAGGCAUGGGAAAUCCGGAGCUUCUGCAACUCGAAAGCUAAACAUGCUUAUGGACCUCAAGGCAGUAAAGAUUUUUGUUUUUCAAAUAAUGUACGGUUAAAUUAAGAUGAAAUAAAAUUUUAGUGAGAAAUUGUGUAAUAUUGAUCAAUGUAAUUGUCACCCUAAUGAAUAAAAUUAAA